rnacentral:rRNA from 1 species
GACGAACGCUGGCGGCGCGCCUAACACAUGCAAGUCGAACGAGCGAGCGAGAGCUUGCUUUCUCGAGCGAGUGGCGAACGGGUGAGUAACGCGUGAGGAACCUGCCCCAAAGAGGGGGACAACAGUUGGAAACGACUGCUAAUACCGCAUAAGCCCACGGUGCCGCAUGGCACAGAGGGAAAAGGAGCAAUCCGCUUUGAGAUGGCCUCGCGUCCGAUUAGCUAGUUGGUGAGGUAAUGGCCCACCAAGGCGACGAUCGGUAGCCGGACUGAGAGGUUGAACGGCCACAUUGGGACUGAGACACGGCCCAGACUCCUACGGGAGGCAGCAGUGGGGAAUAUUGCACAAUGGGGGAAACCCUGAUGCAGCGACGCCGCGUGGAGGAAGAAGGUCUUCGGAUUGUAAACUCCUGUUGUUGGGGAAGAUAAUGACGGUACCCAACAAGGAAGUGACGGCUAACUACGUA